GACAGGUAGCACAGCCCUCCGCUACAAAUGGCUGGUGUUAGAGCUACUUCCUGAACCUUCCCCUGAAGAUUUGAUAAGGGUCCAGAUGGUUGCGAGGCAGAAAGAUAGAAAUAUUUUACUGAGCUUGUUCUGAUAAGGGACCCUGCUUCCUGGGUGGUGGCUGGGGCAGUGAGGCAGUGCCCUCUGGAUAGGCUGUGGUCCCUGGCCCAGUCCAUGGCAGCCCACGGGAUGUGCAGAGGAUCAUUACCCAGAGAGGAGCUCAGGACGCACAGCUGGGGGCAGCUCCCCUCCCUGUCCCCUGGGCUUGCUCACUGCCUCCGAAUUGCACUGAAAAUGGGAACCUGCUCCAGAAACCCCUCCAAGGUCCUGACACAGACUGGGCGUGCACUCGGACUUGCUGACCUUCAUUUCUUCUUGCCAGCGUGGACGUAAGGCACAGCUCUUCCAUUGAAAUCCUGAGUUUACCGUGACUGCACAUCCCGAGGCCGUGGUCUGUCCACAGUGCCCGUCACAACUCAGGUAGCUCAGGACAGCAGGAGACUGGUGAACAACUGAAGACAAUGGGGUCAUACCCCGAGGGUCAGAGUGCACAGGGACACUGCUGAACGCAGAAAGAAGCGGACUAUGACCACAAAAUAGAAAAGACCCCCCCAACACACACAGGAUGGAAGGAUUCAUCUAAGCACCGUCUUCGCCACUCUGUUGUAAAGUUUGGAAAGUCUCUGGCCAUAUGCUUGAGAAAUUUACUCCUAUCUUGAACGCUUGUCUGACAACACUGGUAAACUCAAAGUGAUUGUAGAUGGACAGGUUCUUACACUUCAAAUAUCAGGGUUAAUUACGAGAAAUUCGGCAAAACCCCAAGCAGUGAAUGAGGAGAGGAGGAGAGACGCUGUCUUCUCUGGCAUUAAGCUGGCUUGGAGGUCUUUACAGUGUCGGUCAGAGGCUCCCAGUCGCCUGGAACUCAUCACGGUUUGAAGCCCUGUUUGGAAGGGACUGCGGGACUCCAGACUUCCAAAUUUAACAAUCAUUUGGAGGAAGUUUAUUUUAUAGUAGCUUUUGUGAACUAUGGGAAGACUAAAUAACUGAAAGGAUCUCCAAAGUGAAAGAUGAAGGAAAUAAUGGAGAUAUGGAAAAGACUACUGAAUUCUCCAGGAGGAAGUGAUGUCAGUUCUACAGGAGGAAGUGGUGUCACUCCUCCAGGAGGAAGUGAUGUCACUCCUCCUUAUCCACAGUGGGUGCUUCAUUUGUGGCUGUCUCCAGGCCUGAUGCAGGGGUGCAUAACUAAAGCAAAACCAAGAACACAGCUCCCACUACCACUAGGAAUCAUGAAGGCGGAUGAGAGACCAUUCUACCUGGACCGUCCUUACUCUCUGGCUGCCUUCUCCCUAACGCUUAGUCCAGGCAUGGGCAGAAUGAUGGAGUUAGAGGGCUCUGUGUGCAGUCAUGCUGAACUGUUCGCUG